CUCCUGUGCGUGGAAAGAACUUCGGUCAAGGAUGGACUCGCGGCCUAUCAGGUAGUUGGUGAGGUAACGGCUCACCAAGCCUACGACGGGUAGCCGGCCUGAGAGGGUGACCGGCCACACUGGGACUGAGACACGGCCCAGACUCCUACGGGAGGCAGCAGUGGGGAAUAUUGCACAAUGGGCGCAAGCCUGAUGCAGCAACGCCGCGUGAGGGACGACGGCCUUCGGGUUGUAAACCUCUUUUAGUAGGGAAGAAGCGAAAGUGACGGUACCUGCAGAAAAAGCACCGGCUAACUACGUGCCAGCAGCCGCGGUAAUACGUAGGGUGCGAGCGUUGUCCGGAAUUAUUGGGCGUAAAGAGCUCGUAGGCGGUCUGUCGCGUCUGCUGUGAAAACCCGAGGCUCAACCUCGGGCCUGCAGUGGGUACGGGCAGACUAGAGUGCGGUAGGGGAGAAUGGAAUUCCUGGUGUAGCGGUGGAAUGCGCAGAUAUCAGGAGGAACACCGAUGGCGAAGGCAGUUCUCUGGGCCGUAACUGACGCUGAGGAGCGAAAGCGUGGGGAGCGAACAGGAUUAGAUACCCUGGUAGUCCACGCCGUAAACGUUGGGCGCUAGAUG
rnacentral:rRNA from 1 species